GACGAACGCUGGCGGCGUGCUUAACACAUGCAAGUCGAACGGAAAGGCCCUGCUUUUGUGGGGUGCUUGAGUGGCGAACGGGUGAGUAACACGUGAGUAACCUGCCCUUGACUUUGGGAUAACUUCAGGAAACUGGGGCUAAUACCGGAUAGGAGCUCCUGCUGCAUGGUGGGGGUUGGAAAGUUUCGGCGGUUGGGGAUGGACUCGCGGCUUAUCAGCUUGUUGGUGGGGUAGUGGCUUACCAAGGCUUUGACGGGUAGCCGGCCUGAGAGGGUGACCGGCCACAUUGGGACUGAGAUACGGCCCAGACUCCUACGGGAGGCAGCAGUGGGGAAUAUGGCACAAUGGGCGGAAGCCUGAUGCAGCAACGCCGCGUGCGGGAGGACGGCCUUCGGGUUGUAAACCGCUUUCGCCUGUGACGAAGCGUGAGUGACGGUAAUGGGUAAAGAAGCACCGGCUAACUACGU
rnacentral:rRNA from 1 species